rnacentral:rRNA from 1 species
UACGAAGGGGGCUAGCGUUGUUCGGAAUUACUGGGCGUAAAGCGCGUGUAGGCGGGUCUUUUAAGUCAGGGGUGAAAUGCCAAGGCUCAACCUUGGAACUGCCUUUGAUACUGGAGACCUUGAGUCCGGGAGAGGUGAGUGGAAUUGCGAGUGUAGAGGUGAAAUUCGUAGAUAUUCGCAAGAACACCAGUGGCGAAGGCGGCUCACUGGCCCGGAACUGACGCUGAGAUGCGAAAAGCGUGGGGAGCAAACAGGG